rnacentral:ncRNA from 1 species
GAUUUUGCAGUGGUUUUUUAAAACCACUAAUCUAUAACUAAGAUUAAUCUAUGACUCUCUUAAGGUAGCCAAAUGCCUCCUCAUCUAAUUAGUGAUGUGCAUGAAUGGAU